rnacentral:ncRNA from 1 species
ACUCUAGUCUGGCACGGUGAAGAGACAUGAGAGGUGUAGAAUAAGUGGGAGCCCCCCCCCCCCCGGCGCCCAGCCCGGUCCUCGUGUCGGGGUCGGGGUACGUGGCCUCGCGGGCCGCCGGUGAAAUACCACUACUCUCAUCAUUUUUUCACUAACCCAAUGAGGCGGGGGGGGGGGGGGCGAGCCCCGAGGGGCUCUCGCUUCUGGCGCCAAUUUUGAAAAAAAAAAAAAAAAAAAGAGCAUGGAAUGAUGGGAGCUGGUGAGGGAGUGAGGGAAGGCAGCAACAGCAUCCUGACUAUCAGGCUCAGCGUUCCACAUGUAUGGGGUAUCUGCAGGCACUGGGU